rnacentral:piRNA from 1 species
UAUGCCUCGUAUCCUCAUCCCAGGGCUGU